rnacentral:rRNA from 1 species
CCCUUAGAUGUCCUGGGCCGCACGCGCGCUACACUGACAUGUUCAACAAGUUUCUCCUAGUUCGACAGGACUGGGAAAUCUUUGAGCGCAUGUCGUGAUAGGGAUAGAUCAUUGCAAUUAUUGAUCUUGAACGAGGAAUUCCUAGUAAACGCGAGUCAUCAGCUCGCAUUGAUUACGUCCCUGCCCUUUGUACACACCGCCCGUCGCACCUACCGAUUGAAUGUUUCGGUGAAGAUUCCGGAUAGGACUGAUUUGAUUUAUUUCAUUUCUGACCUAAAAGCUAUCUAAACCUCAACAUUUAGAGGAAGGUGAAGUCGUAACA